rnacentral:rRNA from 1 species
AUUUCGCGACUGACACUCAGGGACGAGAGCCAGGGGAGCGAAUGGGAUUAGAUACCCCAGUAGUCCUGGCCGUAAACGAUGGAUACCAAGCCCUGCGCGUAUCGACCCGGGCAGGGCUGUAGCUAACGCAUGAAGUAUCCCGCCUGGGGAGUACGCUCGCAAGAGUGAAACUCAAAGGAAUUGACGGGAGCCCGCACAAGCGGUGGAGCAUGUGGUUUAAUUCGAUGCAACGCGAAGAACCUUACCAGGGCUUGACAUGCCGCGAACCCUCCUGAGAGGGGGGGGUGCCUUCGGGAGCGCGGACACAGGUGGUGCAUGGCUGUCGUCAGCUCGUGUCGUAAGAUGUUGGGUUCAGUCCCGCAACGAGCGCAACCCCCGUCUCUAGUUGCCCACAAUUCGGCACCCUAGAGAGACCGCCGGUGUUAAGCCGGAGGAAGGUGGGGAUGAGGUCAAGUCAACAUGCCCCUUUUGCCCUGGGCGACACACGUGCUACAAUGGCCGGGACAAAGAGAUGCGACCCCGCAAGGGCCAGCCUGACCUCGUAAACCCGGCCUCAGUUCGGAUUGUAGGCUGCAACCCGCCUACAUGAAGGAGGAAUCGCUAGUAAUCACCGGUCAGCCAUACGGUGGUGAAUCCGUUCCCGGGCUUUGCACACACCGCCCGUCACACUAUGGGAAUCGGCCAUGCCCCAAGUCGUUACCCCAACCCGUAGGGAGGGGGAUGCCAAAGGCA